rnacentral:rRNA from 1 species
UACGAAGGGGGCUAGCGUUGUUCGGAUUUAUUGGGCGUAAAGAGCUCGUAGGCGGUCUGUCACGUCGGCUGUGAAAUCCCGAGGCUCAACCUCGGGUCUGCAGUCGAUACGGGCAAACUAGAGUAUUGCAGGGGAGACUGGAAUUCCUGGUGUAGCGGUGAAAUGCGCAGAUAUCAGGAGGAACACCGGUGGCGAAGGCGGGUCUCUGGGCAAUAACUGACGCUGAGGAGCGAAAGCGUGGGGAGCGAACAGG